AAGUGUUUUCUUGUUUUUUUUAGUUUUGUUUUAUAAACUAAUAAAUUUUAAUUAAUCAUUGAUAAGGAUCAAAUUUUUUAUGUAAUUUUUUAGUCGGUCCAGGGAGAUUAAUUAAAAGAAUUACAGUGACCGCAAAAGACUGGCACUUCUAGAGUGAAUAGACUGAUUGGGCAAGCAUAUCUCCUUCGCUAGAGGAGAUUCAUUAUGUAAAAAGGGUUUGUAAUAAAGUCUGCCAGUAGCUAUAAAAAGUGAUACAGAAGGCCUUAUAAUGCAAAGUCAGACUCAAAGCAAAUCGACGGCGGAGCCACCAUCACCUCCACCCCCACCGCCGACAGGAUCCACGACACGCAAUCAAUUGCGUCCUGUUAAAUACGAUUAUGCCGAUUCGUUUGCUUGUACUUAUGUAGUGUCAGUCGUAGCUGCUUCUGUGGCGGAACUAACCACAUAUCCGCUGGAUCUAACCAAAACUCGUUUACAAAUACAAGGUGAAGCAGCAGCCUCGGAGUUAAAGACCGGCAAUGGGACUAAGACAAAGUACCGUGGCAUGGUGGCGACAGCUUUUGGCAUCGUAAGGGAGGAGGGUACAAUGAAAUUGUGGCAAGGUGUAACUCCAGCUCUUUAUCGCCAUGUUGUUUACAGCGGCGUACGUAUAUGUAGCUACGACUUUCUACGUCGCAAGCUUGGAAGUGAUAAUAACGGCAUCAUUACAUUACCAUUAUGGAAAUCAGCACUUUGUGGUGUGUCCGCUGGGGCAGUAGCACAAUGGUUGGCCUCACCGGCCGAUUUAGUCAAGGUACAAAUACAAAUGGAAGGAAAACGUCGCCUUAUGGGAGAACCAGCGCGUGUACAUGGCGCUGCGCAUGCUCUCAAAGAAAUUGUUCGUCGAGGUGGUGUAGCUGGACUAUGGAAAGGCAGUAUUCCGAAUGUGCAACGAGCUGCUCUUGUUAAUUUGGGUGAUCUCACAACAUACGACACUAUCAAACAUAUGAUUAUGAUUAAAUUGAAUAUGCCUGAUUGCCAUACGGUACAUGUACUUUCUUCCAUAUGUGCUGGUUUUGUCGCUGCGAUUAUGGGAACGCCGGCAGAUGUGGUAAAGACAAGAAUAAUGAAUCAGCCAACGGACGAAAAGGGCAGAGGACUACUCUACAAAGGUUCCGUCGAUUGUCUACGUCAAACGGUGAACAAAGAAGGAUUUGGUGCACUUUACAAAGGUUUCCUGCCAUGCUGGAUCCGUAUGGCGCCGUGGUCUCUAACAUUCUGGCUGUCAUUUGAACAAAUUCGUAGCAUGAUCGGCGUCGCCGGUGUUGUUGCGAGCUUACAUGCGUUUUUCAAGUGAACGGAAUAAUAAAAACAGUGUUUACAAAAAGUUCGAUACGUUUUCAAAACAUAACGGGAGAAUUGAUAUGUUAAUGAAUAAUAAUGUUGAGAAAAUCUUAAUCAAAUGAUGGACAAGAGAUCAACCGGACCAAGCAGCGGAUGUGUUGAAAUUAACAAAUAUUUUUAUUUUUAAUGUGGUAAUACGUAUGUACUAAACCACGUCUACUAUUUAAAAAAAUGCUUUCAUAUGUACAUAUGUAUGCACAUCGAUAUUGUAAGGAUUUUUUGUGUUUAUUACUUGCUACAUACCUACAUACAUGAUUAUUUAAAUUUUAAGGAUUGAAAUACAUUAUUUUGAAGCCAUAUAUGGUGAACUGCAGAAUUACAUACAUUCAUACAUGCAUACAUACAUAUAUACAAUACAUAUUCUCUAAUUAAGAUGACAAUAUAAUAUUGUAAAAUGUAUUUAAAAAUUAAAUAAAUAAGUUUUCUACGUACAAAUAAUAUUUUUCACGUAUUAACAUUAACUUAUUAUCAAAAAUCCAACGAUACUUCACCAAAAAUUAAAAAUAAUUAUUCAAUUUCUACCAUGAAACUAUGUAUAUCAUU